rnacentral:rRNA from 1 species
CCCUUAGAUGUUCUGGGCCGCACGCGCGCUACACUGAUGCAUUCAACAAGCCUAGGCUUGACCGAGAGGUCCGGGUAAUCUUUGAAACUGCAUCGUGAUGGGGCUAGAUUAUUGCAAUUAUUAAUCUUCAACGAGGAAUGCCUAGUAAGCGUGAUUCAUCAAAUCGCGUUGAUUACGUCCCUGCCCUUUGUACACACCGCCCGUCGCUCCUACCGAUUGAAUGUGUUGGUGAGGAGCUCGGAUUGGCAGCAGUUGGUGGUUCGCCACCGGCUAUUGCUGAGAAGUCCUCCAAACCGCCCCAUUUAGAGGAAGGAGAAGUCGUAACA